rnacentral:snRNA from 1 species
ACCCGUCUGAUAGCGCUU